rnacentral:lncRNA from 1 species
UGGAUGGACUGAGGGCCCGGGAGGGAAGUUUGCCUGGAAACUCCACCAUCAGCAUCAGAGCGCCAGUUUACCUGGGAUCACCUCCAUCAGGGAAACCAAAGGUGCAGGUUGAGACGCAGGCCCUGAAAGGGUGAAGAUAGAGCUUCUCUGCCACUUCCUAAACCUGAAUCUAUUGGCUUCUCCUCCAGGGAAUGCAAAAACGUAGGUUUUAGGUUAUAGACAGAGAUUUUUUGGUUAACAUAAUGUGUUUCAAAUUACAGUAAUUUGUGCCAUUUUCACCAUCUUUGCCAUAAGGUAAAACAUUGGCUUAACUGUUUUCUCUCCAUCAAACUAUUUAUUUUAAAUGUGCUUCUAUGGGAUCUUUUUAUCUCUCCCAUAAAUGGAAACCCAAUAUUCUUUACCAUAAAUAAUAGAUAACCCUGAGAAAUAAACAUUUGAAAACCAAACACUGUUAAUAUCAAA